rnacentral:rRNA from 1 species
GUGGGGAAUAUUGGACAAUGGGCGAAAGCCUGAUCCAGCCAUGCCGCGUGUGUGAAGAAGGUCUUCGGAUUGUAAAGCACUUUAAGUUGGGAGGAAGGGCAGUAAGUUAAUACCUUGCUGUUUUGACGUUACCAACAGAAUAAGCACCGGCUAACUUCGUGCCAGCAGCCGCGGUAAUACGAAGGGUGCAAGCGUUAAUCGGAAUUACUGGGCGUAAAGCGCGCGUAGGUGGUUCAGCAAGUUGAAGGUGAAAUCCCCGGGCUCAACCUGGGAACUGCCUCCAAAACUGCAUGACUAGAGUACGGUAGAGGGUAGUGGAAUUUCCUGUGUAGCGGUGAAAUGCGUAGAUAUAGGAAGGAACACCAGUGGCGAAGGCGACUACCUGGACUGAUACUGACACUGAGGUGCGAAAGCGUGGGGAGCAAACAGGAUUAGAAACCCAUGUAGUCC